GCUCAGAUUGAACGCUGGCGGAAUGCUUUACACAUGCAAGUCGAACGGCAGCACGGGAGCUUGCUCCUGGUGGCGAGUGGCGGACGGGUGAGUAAUAUAUCGGAACGUAUCUAUUAAUGGGGGAUAACUAGCCGAAAGGUUAGCUAAUACCGCAUACGCCCUGAGGGGGAAAGCUGGGGAUCUUCGGACCUGGCGUUAAUAGGGCGGCCGAUACCUGAUUAGCUAGUUGGUGGGGUAAAGGCCUACCAAGGCGACGAUCAGUAGCUGGUCUGAGAGGACGACCAGCCACACUGGGACUGAGACACGGUCCAGACACCUACGGGUGGCAGCAGUCGAGAAUUUCGACAAUGGGCGAAAGCCUGAUCCAGCCAUUCCGCGUGAGUGAAGAAGGCCUUCGGGUUGUAAAGCUC
rnacentral:rRNA from 1 species